GCUCCAUGACAACAGGGACCUUACCUGUAUUGCCCAUUCUGUGUCUGGCUGGAAAAAAGCUCUCACUGUAUCCCAAAAGAAUGGUGAUAAUUCUAGAUUCUGGCUGUGAUGAAAUCAACCACCUCAUCUAUUUACAAGAAUAUUAGAAGAGAUGGCAAUGAUUCUGGAGUGGAUUACACCAUUUGACUGAGGAACUACUGGAAUUUUCUUCUUCUCUAAGAUACACACAAGCAUGACGACUUCCAAUGAACAGGCCUCACCAAGAACUCUCCAAACAUGUAGGGUUUCUUUAGUUUAUCAAUGAAACAAGCAACUUGGUAGGAUGCUUCUGAAAUGCCG
rnacentral:lncRNA from 10 species